AUACGUAGGGGGCAAGCGUUAUCCGGAUUUACUGGGUGUAAAGGGAGCGUAGACGGUUCUGCAAGUCUGGAGUGAAAGCCCGGGGCUCAACCCCGGGACUGCUUUGGAAACUCCGUGGAACUAGAGUGCAGGAGAGGUAAGUGGAAUUCCUAGUGUAGCGGUGAAAUGCGUAGAUAUUAGGAGGAACACCAGUGGCGAAGGCGGCUUACUGGACUGUAACUGACGUUGAGGCUCGAAAGCGUGGGGAGC
rnacentral:rRNA from 1 species